rnacentral:misc_RNA from 1 species
GAUGAAGAACGUAGCGAAAAGCGAUAAGUAAUGUGAAUUGCAGAAUUCAGUGAAUCAUCGAAUCUUUGAACGCACAUUGCGCCCGCCAGUAUUCUGGCGGGCAUGCCUGUUCGAGCGUCAUUUCAACCAUCAAGCCCCAGGCUUGUGUUGGAGCCCUGCGGCUGCCGCAGCCUCCCAAAACCAGUGGCGGGCUCGCUAUCACACCGAGUGCAGUAGUUUACUCUUCGCUCAGGGCGUGUGGCGGGUGCUAGCCGUAAAACCCCCAACUUCUCAAGGUUGACCUCGGAUCAGGUAGGAAUACCCGCUGAACUUAAGCAUAUCAAUAAGCGGAGGA